rnacentral:rRNA from 1 species
UACGGAGGGGGCUAGCGUUGUUCGGAAUUACUGGGCGGAAAGCGCGCGUAGGCUGAUCUGUAAGUUGGGGCUGAAAUCCCGAGGCUCAACCUCGGAACUGCCUUCGAUACUGCAGAUCUCGAGUCCGAGAGAGGUGAGUGGAAUUCCUAGUGUAGAGGUGAAAUUCGUAAAUAUUAGGAAGUACACCAGUGGCGAAGGCGGCUCACUGGCUCGGUACUGACGCUGAGGCGCGAAAGCGUGGGGAGCAAACAGG